UACAUGCAAGUCGAGCGGAGAAAUGGGAGCUUGCUCCUAUUUCUCAGCGGCGGACGGGUGAGUAACACGUGGGCAACCUGCCCUACAGACUGGGAUAACUCCGGGAAACCGGAGCUAAUACCGGGUAAUACAUAGCAUCGCAUGAUGCAACGUUGAAAGUUGGCCUUUGGCUAACACUGUAGGAUGGGCCCGCGGCGCAUUAGCUAGUUGGUAAGGUAACGGCUUACCAAGGCCACGAUGCGUAGCCGACCUGAGAGGGUGAUCGGCCACACUGGGACUGAGACACGGCCCAGACUCCUACGGGAGGCAGCAGUAGGGAAUCUUCCGCAAUGGACGAAAGUCUGACGGAGCAACGCCGCGUGAGUGACGAAGGCCUUCGGGUCGUAAAGCUCUGUUGUUAGGGAAGAACAAGUACCGUUCGAAUAGGGCGGUACCUUGACGGUACCUAACCAGAAAGCCACGGCUAACUACGUGCCAGCAGCCGCGGUAAUACGUAGGUGGCAAGCGUUGUCCGGAAUUAUUGGGCGUAAAGCGCGCGCAGGCGGUCUCUUAAGUCUGAUGUGAAAGCCCACGGCUCAACCGUGGAGGGCCAUUGGAAACUGGGGGACUUGAGUGCAGAAGAGGAGAGUGGAAUUCCACGUGUAGCGGUGAAAUGCGUAGAUAUGUGGAGGAACACCAGUGGCGAAGGCGGCUCUCUGGUCUGUAACUGACGCUGAGGCGCGAAAGCGUGGGGAGCAAACAGGAUUAGAUACCCUGGUAGUCCACGCCGUAAACGAUGAGUGCUAGGUGUUGGGGGCUUCCACCCUCAGUGCUGAAGUUAACACAUUAAGCACUCCGCCUGGGGAGUACGACCGCAAGGUUGAAACUCAAAGGAAUUGACGGGGGCCCGCACAAGCAGUGGAGCAUGUGGUUUAAUUCGAAGCAACGCGAAGAACCUUACCAGGUCUUGACAUCCUCUGCCACUCCUAG
rnacentral:rRNA from 2 species